AUUGCGGGGUCCUUCCUCGCUCACCCUGGUUCCUCUCGGAGCGGAGACGGCAAAUGGCGGACUUCGACACCUACGACGAUCGGGCCUACAGCAGCUUUGGCGGCGGCAGAGGGUCCCGCGGCAGUGCUGGUGGCCAUGGUUCCCGUAGCCAGAAGGAGUUGCCCACAGAGCCCCCCUACACAGCAUACGUAGGAAAUCUACCUUUCAAUACGGUUCAGGGCGACAUAGAUGCUAUCUUUAAGGAUCUCAGCAUAAGGAGUGUACGGCUAGUCAGAGACAAAGACACAGAUAAAUUUAAAGGAUUCUGCUAUGUAGAAUUCGAUGAAGUGGAUUCCCUUAAGGAAGCCUUGACAUACGAUGGUGCACUGUUGGGCGAUCGGUCACUUCGUGUGGACAUUGCAGAAGGCAGAAAACAAGAUAAAGGUGGCUUUGGAUUCAGAAAAGGUGGACCAGAUGACAGAGGUGAUUGGUUCUUCUAAAGUUGAACAUCAUAAAGAUUUGCAGUAUGCCUACCAAUUCCAACUCGUGAACGUUCCUAGUAGAACUCGAUUAUCUCAUAGGUGUGAUAGGUUCUCGUGAGCUCUUAAAAGUUUGCGUAAAAUCCUAGAAAGAGUGGCUGAUGCUUCUGCAAGCCUGGCGUUUUUUGUUUUCUGUUGGAAGCAAAAGCUCUUAAAAUGAUUUCAUUGAACCUUCCAUCACAUGAGUUGUAUGUCUUCCAAAUGAAUUUUUCCAUGUUUGCGCAGCAAGGUAAUGACACGACCUCAACUUUAUCUUUUUUGUGUAUCCUCAGGAAUGGGUAGCUCUCGAGAAUCUAGAGGUGGAUGGGAUUCC
rnacentral:sRNA from 1 species